rnacentral:lncRNA from 1 species
AGAAGCCAAGCGGCUCGAGGCGAGGGUACUGAACCUCGCAUGCGGAGCAUGCCGCUAUAAUGGAGUCGGGCUAAGAAGCCAGACAACUCGAGGCGAGGGUACUGAACCUUGCAUGCGGAGCAUGCCGCUAUAAUGGAGUCGGGCUAAGAAGCCAGACAACUCGAGGCGAGGGUACUGAACCUUGCAUGCGGAGCAUGCCGCUAUAAUGGAGUCGGGCUAAGAAGCCAGACAACUCGAGGCGAGGGUACUGAACCUUGCAUGCGGAGCAUGCCGCUAUAAUGGAGUCGGGCUAAGAAGCCAGACAACUCGAGGCGAGGGUACUGAACCUUGCAUGCGGAGCAUGCCGCUAUAAUGGAGUCGGGCUAAGAAGCCAGACAACUCGAGGCGAGGGUACUGAACCUUGCAUGCGGAGCAUGCCGCUAUAAUGGAGUCGGGCUAAGAAGCCAGACAACUCGAGGCGAGGGUACUGAACCUUGCAUGCGGAGCAUGCCGCUAUAAUGGAGUCGGGCUAAGAAGCCAGACAACUCGAGGCGAGGGUACUGAACCUUGCAUGCGGAGCAUGCCGCUAUAAUGGAGUCGAGCUGAGAAGCCAGUCGACUCAAGGCGAGGGUACUGAACCUCGCCUGAUUGGGCAUAGAACCCUACAAUCUAUGUGUCUAGCUCGUGUGACCAGUCUGAGGUAAAGUGUAAUGGCACCUGAUGCUCUACUGCAUCAUUAGCUGUAGUGACGAUCGGUGCCUCGCUGUCUUGGCUGACUGCCGAUGGCUAUGCAAUGAGGCUAUUAAGAGCUAGGCGACAAGGCUACCAAGGAUUGAACCACGGGGUUGCUCUUUCGAUCCGGGAUAUUAGUGCCACCUCGGGGAUGCACUAUCACAAAGUAUUAGCUCUUUGUGUACUUCAACUAUGCCCCUUUUGGAAUGCAAAUCACUCCUGUAUAAUGUUGUANCU